rnacentral:rRNA from 1 species
CCUACGGGCGGCAGCAGUGGGGAAUAUUGCACAAUGGGGGAAACCCUGAUGCAGCGACGCCGCGUGAGUGAAGAAGUACUUCGUUAUGUAAAGCUCUAUCAGCAGGGAAGAAAAUGACGGUACCUGAGUAAUAAGCCCCGGCUAACUACGUGCCAGCCGCCGCGGUAAUACGUAGGGGGCAAGCGUUAUCCGGAUUUACUGGGUGAAAAGGGAGCGUAGACGGCAGUGCAAGUCUGGGGUGAAAGGCGGGGCUCAACCCCCGGACUGCUCUGGAAACUGUACGGCUGGAGUGCAGGAGAGGUAAGUGGAAUUCCUAGUGUAGCGGUGAAAUGCGUAGAUAUUAGGAGGAACACCAGUGGCGAAGGCGGCUUACUGGACUGUAACUGACGUUGAGGCUCGAAAGCGUGGGGAUCAAACAGGAUUAGAUACCCGUGUAGUC